AAUUCUUGCUUACUGCAGGCACAUAAUAACAAUCUCUAAGAAAUAAAUCUAAUUCUAAUGGUAAUCGCAGGGGGUAGGUUCCCACGGCCACAGCAGCAACUCUUGCUCCGUUCCCAAUGCGUAGGAUCAUCUUUCCAUCCCUCAGCCUCCUGCUCUCCUCAAGACCCUACAUAGAAGUGCACAAAUGAGCACUAGAACCAGAGUCAAGCACCCAACUGGAUGCAGAAGAAAUCGUAAGAUUAGACUCUAAAGUGAGCAUACC
rnacentral:lncRNA from 1 species